UGCCAGCAGCCGCGGUAAUACGUAGGUGGCAAGCGUUGUCCGGAAUUAUUGGGCGUAAAGCGCGCGCAGGCGGGAUAUUAAGUCUAUCUUAAAAGUUCGGGGCUCAACCCCGUGAGGGGAUAGAAACUAAUAUUCUUGAGUACAGGAGAGGAAAGUGGAAUUCCCAGUGUAGCGGUGAAAUGCGUAGAUAUUGGGAGGAACACCAGUGGCGAAGGCGACUUUCUGGACUGUGUCUGACGCUGAGGCGCGAAAGCCAGGGGAGUGAACGGGAUUAGAUACCCCGGUAAUCCUGGCCGUAAACGAUGGGUACUAGGUGUAGGAGGUAUCGACCCCUUCUGUGCCGGAGUUAACGCAAUAAGUACCCCGCCUGGGGAGUACGGCCGCAAGGUUGAAACUCAAAGGAAUUGACGGGGGCCCGCACA
rnacentral:rRNA from 1 species